CCUACGGGGGACAGCAGUCGGGAAUAUUGCGCAAUGGAGGAAACUCUGACGCAGUGACGCCGCGUGCAGGAAGAAGGUUUUCGGAUUGUAAACUGCUUUAGACAGGGAAGAAACAAGACAGUACCUGUAAAAUAAGCUCCGGCUAACUACGUGCCAGCAGCCGAGGUAAUACGUAGGGGGCAAGCGUUAUCCGGAUUUAUUGGGUGUAAAGGGGGCGUAGACGGGAAGUCAAGUCGGUUGUGAAAUCCCUCGGCUUAACUGAGGAACUGCAACCAAAACUAACUUUCUUGAGUGCUGGAGAGGAAAGUGGAAUUCGUAGUGUAGCGGUGAAAUGCGUAGAUAUAUGGAAGAACACCAGUGGCGAAAGCGGCUCUCUGGUCUGUAACUGACGCUGAGGUUCGAAAGCGUGGGUAGCAAACAGGAUUAGAUACCCUAGUAGUC
rnacentral:rRNA from 1 species